GAUCCUGGCUCAGAUUGAACGCUGGCGGCAGGCCUUACACAUGCAAGUCGAACGGCAGCACGGACUUCGGUCUGGUGGCGAGUGGUGAACGGGUGAGUAAUGCAUCGGAACGUCCAUUGAGUGGGGGAUAACGUAGCGAAAGUUGCGCUAAUACCGCAUAUUCUGUGAGCAGGAAAGCAGGGGACCGCAAGGCCUUGCGCUCUUUGAGCGGCCGAUGUCAGAUUAGCUAGUUGGUGAGGUAAAGGCUUACCAAGGCGACGAUCUGUAGCGGGUCUGAGAGGAUGAUCCGCCACACUGGAACUGAGACACGGUCCAGACUCCUACGGGAGGCAGCAGUGGGGAAUUUUGGACAAUGGGGGCAACCCUGAUCCAGCCAUGCCGCGUGAGUGAAGAAGGCCUUCGGGUUGUAAAGCUCUUUCGGCCGGGAAGAAAUCGCAUGGGCCAAUACCCUGUGUGGAUGACGGUACCGGAAUAAGAAGCACCGGCUAACUACGUGCCAGCAGCCGCGGUAAUACGUAGGGUGCGAGCGUUAAUCGGAAUUACUGGGCGUAAAGCGUGCGCAGGCGGUUUUGUAAGACAGGCGUGAAAUCCCCGGGCUUAACCUGGGAACUGCGUUUGUGACUGCAAGGCUAGAGUACGGCAGAGGGGGGUGGAAUUCCACGUGUAGCAGUGAAAUGCGUAGAGAUGUGGAGGAACACCAAUGGCGAAGGCAGCCCCCUGGGUCGAUACUGACGCUCAUGCACGAAAGCGUGGGUAGCAAACAGGAUUAGAUACCCUGGUAGUCCACGCCCUAAACUAUGUCAACUAGGUGUUGGGUGGGUAAAACCAUUUAGUACCGUAGCUAACGCGUGAAGUUGACCGCCUGGGGAGUACGGCCGCAAGGUUAAAACUCAAAGGAAUUGACGGGGACCCGCACAAGCGGUGGAUGAUGUGGAUUAAUUCGAUGCAACGCGAAAAACCUUACCUACCCUUGACAUGCCAGGAACUUGCCAGAGAUGGCUUGGUGCCCGAAAGGGAGCCUGGACACAGGUGCUGCAUGGCUGUCGUCAGCUCGUGUCGUGAGAUGUUGGGUUAAGUCCCGCAACGAGCGCAACCCUUGUCGUUAAUUGCCAUCAUUUGGUUGGGCACUUUAACGAGACUGCCGGUGACAAACCGGAGGAAGGUGGGGAUGACGUCAAGUCCUCAUGGCCCUUACGUCCCGGGCUACACACGUGCUACAAUGGUCGGUACAGAGGGUCGCAAUACCGUGAGGUGGAGCUAGUCCCAAAAAACCGGCCUCAGUUCAGAUCGGAGUCUGCAACUCGACUCUGUGAAGUUGGAAUCGCUAGUAAUCGCGGAUCAGAACGCCGCGGUGAAUACGUUCCCGGGCCUUGUACACACCGCCCAGAAGAAGACC
rnacentral:rRNA from 1 species